rnacentral:rRNA from 1 species
UGGGGAAUAUUGCGCAAUGGGGGAAACCCUGACGCAGCGACGCCGCGUGUGGGAUGAAGGUCUUCGGAUUGUAAACCACUGUCGCGAGGGACGAAGCUCUGACGGUACCUCGAAAGGAAGCACCGGCUAACUCUGUGCCAGCAGCCGCGGUAAUACAGAGGGUGCGAGCGUUGUCCGGAAUUACUGGGCGUAAAGCGCGUGUAGGUGGUCGAGUAAGUCGAAUGUGAAAGCCCCGGGCUCAACCCGGGAAGUGCAUCCGAAACUGCUCGACUAGAGUCCCGGAGAGGAAGGCAGAAUUCCCAAUGUAGGGGUGAAAUCCGUAGAUAUUGGGAGGAAUACCGGUGGCGAAGGCGGCCUUCUGGACGGUGACUGACACUCAGACGCGAAAGCGUGGGGAGCAAACAGGAUUAGAUACCCAAGUAGUCCCUGAGCGGGCUGGCAAGGCG